GGGGACUUAGCUCAGUGGUAGAGCGCUUGCCUAGCAAGCACAAGGCCCUGGGUUCGGUCCUCAGCUCCA
rfam:Rattus norvegicus chromosome 20, whole genome shotgun sequence.